GCCGGCCGCGGCGCCGCUCCCAGAAUGCACCGGAUGGCGCGUCAUUGAAGAGAGACCAUGAUGGCGGCGGCACUUGGGCCCCCAGAAGUGAUCGCCCAGCUGGAGAACGCGGCCAAAGUUCUCAUGGCACCUCCUUCCAUGGUCAACAAUGAACAACGCCAGCAUGCAGAGCACAUAUUCUUAUCAUUUAGGAAAUCGAAGUCACCAUUUGCAGUUUGCAAGCAUAUUUUGGAAACAAGCAAGGUGGACUAUGUCCUCUUUCAAGCUGCCACGGCUAUCAUGGAGGCAGUGGUCCGAGAGUGGAUUCUCUUGGAAAAGGGCAGCAUUGAGUCACUGCGAGCAUUCCUUUUAACUUACGUCUUACAGAGGCCCAACCUCCAAAAGUAUGUUCGGGAACAGAUUCUCUUAGCAGUAGCAGUAAUUGUAAAACGAGGCUCACUAGAUAAGUCAAUUGACUGCAAGAGCAUUUUUCAUGAAGUCAGCCAGUUGAUCAGUAGUGGCAAUCCCACUGUGCAAACUCUGGCCUGUUCUAUUCUGACUGCACUAUUGAGUGAAUUCUCAAGUUCAAGUAAAACCAGCAACAUCGGACUGAGCAUGGAAUUCCAUGGCAACUGCAAAAGAGUUUUCCAGGAAGAAGACCUUCGUCAGAUCUUCGUAUUAACCGUGGAAGUUUUGCAGGAGUUCAGCAGGCGGGAAAACCUCAGUGCUCAGAUGUCCUCAGUGUUUCAGCGCUACCUCUCACUCGCCAAUCAGGUCUUGAGCUGGAACUUUCUUCCUCCAAAUUUGGGCAGACAUUAUAUAGCCAUGUUUGAAUCCUCACAAAAUGUGCUGUUAAAGCCAACGGAGUCCUGGCGGGAGGCCCUUCUGGACAGCAGAGUCAUGGAGCUUUUCUUUACAGUACAUCGAAAAAUCAGAGAAGAUUCGGAUAUGGCACAAGAUUCUCUGCAGUGCCUCGCCCAGUUAGCUUCUUUGCACGGACCUGUCUUCCCCGAUGAAGGAGCACAGGUUGACUACCUAGCACACUUCAUUGAGGGUUUACUGAGUACUAUCAAUGGUAACAUUUGUUACCUGAUUUGUAGAAUUGAAAUAGAAGAUUCUGAAGCUGUGGGGAUCUCCAGCAUUAUCAGCAACCUGAUAACUGUGUUCCCUCGAAACGUCUUAACUGCCAUUCCAAGUGAGCUUUUCUCGUCCUUUGUGAACUGCCUCACACACCUCACUUGUUCUUUUGGGCGUAGUGCUGCUUUGGAAGAAGUGCUUGAUAAAGAUGACAUGGUCUACAUGGAAGCAUAUGACAAGUUGCUGGAGUCCUGGCUGACUUUGGUCCAAGAUGACAAACAUUUCCAUAAAGGCUUUUUUACCCAGCAUGCAGUUCAAGUCUUCAAUUCCUAUAUUCAGUGCCACCUGGCCGCUCCAGAUGGCACAAGGAAUUUGACUGCCAAUGGUGUGACCUCUCGUGAGGAAGAGGAAAUAAGUGAACUUCAAGAAGAUGACCGAGACCAGUUUUCAGAUCAACUAGCCAGUGUAGGAAUGCUAGGAAGAGUUGCCGCAGAGCACUGUAUACCUCUUCUGACAAGUUUAUUAGAAGAAAGAGUAACAAGGCUCCACGGUCAGUUACAGCGACAUCAGCAGCAGUUACUUGCUUCACCUGGUUCAAGCACCAUUGACAGCAAAAUACUUGAUGAGCUAUAUGAAGAUAUUCACUGGCUUAUUUUAGUUACAGGCUACCUCUUAGCUGAUGAUACUCAGGGAGAGACUCCGCUAAUACCUCCAGAAAUAAUGGAAUAUUCCAUUAAGCAUUCAUCUGAAGUUGACAUUAAUACAACACUUCAAAUUUUGGGAUCUCCAGGAGAAAAGGCUUCUUCCAUCCCAGGGUACAACAGAACAGAUUCUGUGAUUAGGCUGUUAUCUGCUGUUCUCAGAGUUUCAGAAGUUGAGUCUCGAGCAAUAAGAGCAGAUCUCACUGAUCUGCUAAGCCCUCAAAUGGGCAAAGAUAUUGUUUGGUUUCUAAAACGCUGGGCAAAGACUUAUCUCCUGGUGGAUGAGAAGCUAUAUGAUCAGAUAAGUCUACCAUUCAGUACAGCAUUUGGAGCAGAUACUGAGGGUUCUCAGUGGAUUAUUGGCUACCUCUUACAGAAAGUCAUCAGCAACCUCUCGGUGUGGAGUAGUGAGCAGGACCUUGCAAGUGACACUGUGCAGCUCCUUGUCACUUUGGUGGAAAGAAGAGAAAGGGCAAACCUAGUAAUCCAGUGUGAAAACUGGUGGAAUUUAGCUAAACAGUUUGCGACCCGAAGCCCUCCUCUGAAUUUUCUGUCCAGUCCGGUGCAGAGGACGCUGAUGAAGGCCCUUGUCCUGGGAGGUUUUGCACAGAUGGACACAGAAACCAAACAACAGUAUUGGACUGAGGUUCUUCAGCCAUUGCAGCAGCGAUUCUUAAGGGUGAUAAAUCAGGAAAACUUUCAGCAGAUGUGCCAACAAGAGGAGGUCAAGCAGGAAAUCACUGCCACGCUAGAGGCCCUAUGUGGCAUUGCCGAGGCUACCCAGAUUGACAACGUCGCGAUCCUUUUUAAUUUCUUAAUGGACUUCCUUACCAAUUGCAUUGGAUUGAUGGAAGUUUACAAAAAUACCCCCGAGACUGUCAAUCUCAUAAUAGAAGUUUUUGUUGAAGUUGCACAUAAACAGAUAUGUUAUCUUGGAGAGUCCAAAGCGAUGAACUUAUAUGAAGCCUGCCUCACUUUGUUGCAAGUAUAUUCUAAGAAUAAUUUGGGACGGCAAAGAGUGGAUGUCACAGCGGAGGAGGAACAAUAUCAGGACCUACUUCUUAUUAUGGAACUUCUUACAAACCUUCUGUCAAAAGAGUUCAUAGACUUCAGUGAUACAGAUGAAGUGUUUAGGGGACAUGAGCCGGGGCAAGCAGCAAGCAGGUCUGUGUCAGCAGCGGAUGUUGUUUUAUAUGGAGUCAACCUAAUUCUGCCCUUGAUGUCACAAGAUCUUUUGAAGUUUCCAACACUUUGUAAUCAAUACUACAAAUUAAUUACAUUUAUUUGUGAGAUUUUUCCUGAAAAAAUACCACAGCUUCCUGAAGACCUUUUUAAAAGUCUGAUGUGCUCUCUAGAACUGGGAAUGACUUCAAUGAGCUCGGAGGUUUGCCAGCUGUGCCUGGAGGCCCUGACACCAUUGGCUGAACAGUGUGCAAAAGCUCAAGAUACAGACUCACCACUGUUUCUAGCAACACGGCACUUUCUGAAGCUGGUUUUUGAUAUGCUGGUUCUGCAGAAGCACAACACUGAGAUGACGACAGCAGCCGGAGAGGCGUUCUACACGUUGGUGUGCCUGCACCAGGAACCAGGAAUCAGAUAUGAGAGGAUAAUGGAUAUGUGCUUCUGUCCUUGAGGAACUCAGUUUUGUAAAAAAAACAAGAUGAAUGAGACGGGGCACCCAGAAGAGACUGCCUUCAGAGAGCCGGGCAACAACAGCCGAGUACUCUGAAUUGGUUGAAACAUUGCUGUCAAGUCAACAAGACCCAGUUAUUUACCAGAGAUUAGCAGAUGCCUUCAACAAGCUCACUGCAAGCAGCACCCCUCCUACGCUGGAUCGGAAACAAAAGAUGGC